UCCCGAGCCGGUUCCGGACCACCUCGCAGCGCCGCGUCGUUAGGGGCGGGCUCGGGGAGCACCACCCUCGAGGGGCGGAACCCGUGGGGGCGGUGGCGUGGAUCCGGAGGUACCUGCUUCUUAAAUGCUGCAUUGAAAGGAUGAAACAGAACGGAUGUGAACAAGAGUUCCCUGAGAAAGGACAGCUCUUAGAGAGAUAGGAUAAUUACUGGACUCAAGAAGAUACCAAAUCAUGAACACUUGCUCUGGGGAAAACCAGCUGCCAUAUUGUGAGCAGACCUAUGAAAAGGCCCACUUGGUGAAGAACUGAGGCCUCUGGCUGAUGGACACGUGGGUGACCUUGCAAUCAAGUCUUCUGGCCUCAACCAAGCCUUCAGCUGAGACUGCAGCCUCAUGAAAGAUCCUGAGCUAGAAGCAUCCUGCCAUCCUAAUAAGCCACUCUUGAAUUUCUGACCCUUAAAAAUUGUGAGAUAAGCACCUGUGCUUUUUUUAAGUAUUAGAUUUAAAAAACCCUGUAAAAAUAAAGAAGAAAAAAGACAACUCAUAAUCUCACCACAUUAAAAAGAAUAGCUAUAGAAAAAUUCCAGUAGUAUAAAAAGGAAAAAUGGAAAUAACU